CAAUAGCGUAUAUUAAAGUUGUUGCAGUUAAAAAGCUCGUAGUUGGAUUUCUGGUGGGAGCGAUCGGUCUGGCGCUUAGCGCGAGUACUUGCAUCGUCUCCGGCCAUCCUUGGGGAGAGUCUGUCUGGCAUUAGGUUGUCGGGCAGAGGAUCCUCAUAGUUUACUGUGAAAAAAUUAGAGUGUUCAAAGCAGGCUUAUGCCGUUGAAUAUAUUAGCAUGGAAUAAUAAGAUAGGACUUUGGUACUAUUUUGUUGGUUUGCGCACCAAAGUAAUGAUUAAUAGGGACAGUUGGGGGUAUUCGUAUUCCGUUGUCAGAGGUGAAAUUCUUGGAUUUACGGAAGACGAACUACUGCGAAAGCAUUUACCAAGGAUGUUUUCAUUAA
rnacentral:rRNA from 1 species